CGUCUUUGCGUCUGUUCCAAAAGGUCAGGUGGCCUUUGCCGUGUGUUAUCAUGAGAUUGUCGUCCAGAGGGUGGAAAACGGCUCCGGUUAGUUCUUCUUGAAGGGUCUAUAAAUGAUGUAUCAAGUGCUUCCUUUCCUCGUCGCUGCGAAUUUCGCUCUGCCCAAGUUCCGCCUACCCGUGGAAAUGUGGUCUACCAUUUUUCGAUUUCUAGACCCCUCAUCCCUUCUGAACGUGGUUCGAACGGAUGGUCUAUGGAGUGAAGUAGGCCAAGGAGAUCCAGUCUUAAGACGAACACUUCAGGAAGAAUUAAUGGCCGAACGACAAAGGCAACAACAGGAGAUUUUGAAUCCGGGUUUGCUGAUGACGGUUGAACGGAAAGGACCAACGAAAAUGUUUGGGGCCAAUAAUGGUACGAAAACGGUUCGUUCUAGAGCACCGACAGUGAUCCAACGACCGCCCGUCGAAUUUCUACAAAAUGUUGAAGAGAAAUGCAAACGACGACGAAACGGUGGAUGGACACAAAAAGAAGAGAAGAAUCAUAAAAUAAGAACUUCUAAAAUGUUAAGAUUGUAAUAAAUCUACUUGUAAAUUGGUAAAUUGUUAUGCAAAUAUAAAAUUUCA